rnacentral:rRNA from 1 species
GUAAGGAAUAUUGGUCAAUGGACGCAAGUCUGAACCAGCCAUGCCGCGUGAAGGAUGAAGGCCCUCUGGGUUGUAAACUUCUUUUACAGGGGACGAAAUGCAGUUAUUCUUAGCUGUUUGACGGUACCCUGGGAAUAAGCACCGGCUAACUCCGUGCCAGCAGCCGCGGUAAUACGGAGGGUGCAAGCGUUAUCCGGAUUCACUGGGUUUAAAGGGUGCGUAGGUGGGCCUGUAAGUCAGUGGUGAAAUCUCCGGGCUUAACCCGGAAACUGCCAUUGAUACUAUAGGUCUUGAAUUAUCUGGAGGUCAGCGGAAUAUGUCAUGUAGCGGUGAAAUGCUUAGAUAUGACAUAGAACACCAAUUGCGAAGGCAGCUGGCUACAGGUAUAUUGACACUGAGGCACGAAAGCGUGGGGAUCAAACAGG